rnacentral:rRNA from 1 species
AAAUUGAAGAGUUUGAUCAUGGCUCAGAUUGAAUGCUGGCGGCAGGCCUAACACAUGCAAGUCGAACGGUAACAGGAAACAGCUUGCUGUUUCGCUGACGAGUGGCGGACGGGUGAGUAAUGUCUGGGAAACUGCCUGAUGGAGGGGGAUAACUACUGGAAACGGUAGCUAAUACCGCAUAACGUCGCAAGACCAAAGAGGGGGACCUUCGGGCCUCUUGCCAUCGGAUGUGCCCAGAUGGGAUUAGCUAGUAGGUGGGGUAACGGCUCACCUAGGCGACGAUCCCUAGCUGGUCUGAGAGGAUGACCAGCCACACUGGAACUGAGACACGGUCCAGACUCCUACGGGAGGCAGCAGUGGGGAAUAUUGCACAAUGGGCGCAAG